GUUACUGUUUUAAAUAACCUGAAAAAAUUGGGAAAUAUUUUAAAGUAUUGGAAACCUUUUUUGUACUGCAAAUUUCAGAAAUGUAUACACAACUAUUCUAUAAGUUACUAUUUAUUGCGGGCAAAUUGUGUUCCCCAGUUUCGCCAUUCGGUAUGGAGUUUAACUACCAACACACAGAUUUAUUACAACCCGAGACUUGCAACUACGCCAAUUGUUGUCCUUGUUGUCACUAACUUUUGUCUUCUUCUCUUCAUUUCGCAUAUGGGAAUUGCAUCAGUCUUUUCAUGGAGGUCGUCCUGAUAAAGUCUUCUACACUUGUGUUGCAUGGUGGUCUGUCGCGAUGAUUAGCUUUCCCAUAAUGUGCUUGCUGUCAGUUAAACGGGAAAAUUUCAAAGUCGCCUUGAAUCGGGUGUUGAGAUAUUGCGUGCAAUUUCAAGGUAUUUUAACGAAAUAUUGAGUACAUAGUUUCCAUUGUGUAAUGGCUUUAACGUCUUCAGGGAAGUGGAUGUUUUCUUAUGUUCCGGAGGAAUCUGUGAUUUCUCGCAGUUUGGAUGUCGUUGUCACAGGAUCAAUCCUGAUCAUUUUCCCAGCGCCGUGGACUAGUGUCGCUUUUUUCAUAUUUUUCCCAAAAACUCCAAUAUUUCCUCAUACCUUUACAUACCAGCAUUGCUGGACGGACACUGGGUGGAGGAAGCAUAUUUCGGACUAAUCUACAAGUUGGUCUUGCUGCUUGACAUAAUUCUCACUCUGCAGCUUGCAUCCUUAGUCUGGUUCCUUAUACUUUGCAAGAUAGUAGUAUUCUGUGUGUAUGCUGUUCCUGUGUACAUUAUAAUUACACCGGAGCUUGGAUACACUGCAGCAAAAAGGAAAAAACCAUCUAACACGUUGGUAAAAUUUUCAGACAUUUUUCAUGAGUAUAAUUGCAUACAACUGAUCCACAAGGAAAUUAUGGGAAUUGUUGGAUACAUUCUUUUCUACGUGCUCGGAGCGUUUGCCCAAUUUGUGCUCUACUGUAAUUUUGUAAUUAUUCGGCAAUGGGUUCAUCUUGAUUAUUAUACAAAGACCCUCCUAGCAAUUUGGUCUAUAGCUGCGCAAGUAAUCUGGGCAGUAGUUUUGGAACUAUCGGGACGAAUUGACGUGAAAUUGAGAAAAGUACCAAAAUCAUGGAAGCGUGAAGGGUAACUCUACCUUUGAGAGGAAAUUGAUUUUAAAAAUCUGCAGAGCGUGUCCCCCAAUGCACAUUGGUAUUGAAGGGAUUUUCUCCGUAAAACGAAAUACGAUACUUAAGUUUUUUAGGGGCAUUGUAAAAGGGACUUUUAGAGCAUUGCUAACUAUUGGAAAGAAAUGUAACUAAUAUGUUGAAUAAAAAUUAAUGAAAGAAU